UGAACACUGUAGGAGCCCAGGAAGUCGGUUCUGAGUGUUGAAUGGGUGACAUAUAUCUGGGACCAAGUACUGUGAGUCAGGGCUGAAGACUGUUUUCACAGAUGCCAUCGGGACACAGUCACUCAUUCUUGACCUUCUGAUACCUCCAUCAUGCUAAGAAGACGCUGGCAUGGCUGGAGGAUUCCUAUAAUUUAAAACUGUGAUUUUUACCAUCUCCUCACUCUCCACAGAGGUCAAGAGGCUAGAUAAACAACUUCCUACAGCUGCUACGACAUCGGGUGCGCAUCCGCAGCAGAAAGUGUGUGCCGUGGAGAUAAACACAUCAGAGACAGGGUUUUUCAUUGAUCUGGAGCUCACCAGUGAGGCUAGAAUGGUUGGCCACCAGGCUUCCAGC
rnacentral:lncRNA from 1 species